UGGUAGAUGCACCCUGAUAACUCACUCCCUGCUAGUUUUGCUAGUGGGGUAUUUUUUU
rfam:Calothrix sp. 336/3, complete genome.